rnacentral:rRNA from 1 species
AUUGAACGCUGGCGGCAGGCCUAACACAUGCAAGUCGAACGAGUGGCGGACGGGUGAGUAAUGUCUGGGAAACUGCCUGAUGGAGGGGGCUAACUACUGGAAACGGUAGCUAAUACCGCAUACCAUCAGAUGUGCCCCGAUGGGAUGAGCUUGGUGGGGGGGUAACGGCUCACCAUGGCGACGAGCCCUAGCUGGUCUGGUAGGAUGACCAGCAACACUGGAACUGAGACACGGUCCAGACGCCUACGUGAGGCAGCAGUUGGGAAUAUUGCACAAUGGGCGCAAGCCUGAUGCAGCAAUGCCGCGUGUAUGAAGAAGGCCUUCGGGUUGUAAAGUACUUUCAGCGGGGAGGCGUUACCCGCAGAAGAAGCACCGGCUAACUCCGUGCCAGCAGCCGCGGUAAUUC